UGGUUCAAAUUCUUUCUUCUUCAGAGACUGU
rnacentral:piRNA from 1 species